UGGGGAAUUUUGGACAAUGGGCGAAAGCCUGAUCCAGCAAUGCCGCGUGUGUGAAGAAGGCCUUCGGGUUGUAAAGCACUUUUGUCCGGAAAGAAAUCCUUGGCUCUAAUACAGUCGGGGGAUGACGGUACCGGAAGAAUAAGCACCGGCUAACUACGUGCCAGCAGCCGCGGUAAUACGUAGGGUGCAAGCGUUAAUCGGAAUUACUGGGCGUAAAGCGUGCGCAGGCGGUUUGCUAAGACCGAUGUGAAAUCCCCGGGCUCAACCUGGGAACUGCAUUGGUGACUGGCAGGCUAGAGUAUGGCAGAGGGGGGUAGAAUUCCACGUGUAGCAGUGAAAUGCGUAGAGAUGUGGGGGAAUACCGAUGGCGAAGGCAGCCCCCUGGGCCAAUACUGACGCUCAUGCACGAAAGCGUGGGGAGCAAACAGGAUUAGAUACCCUGGUAGUCCACGCCCUAAACGAUGUCAACUAGUUGUUGGGGAUUCAUUUCCUUAGUAACGUAGCUAACGCGUGAAGUUGACCGCCUGGGGAGUACGGUCGCAAGAUUAAAACUCAAAGGAAUUGACGGGGUCAUAGCUGUUUCCU
rnacentral:rRNA from 1 species